ACGAACGCUGGCGGCGUGCUUAACACAUGCAAGUCGAACGGAAAGGCCCUGCUUGCAGGGUACUCGAGUGGCGAACGGGUGAGUAACACGUGGGUGAUCUGCCCUGCACUUCGGGAUAAGCCUGGGAAACUGGGUCUAAUACCGGAUAGGAGCCAUUUUUAGUGUGAUGGUUGGAAAGUUUUUUCGGUGUAGGAUGAGCUCGCGGCCUAUCAGCUUGUUGGUGGGGUAAUGGCCUACCAAGGCGGCGACGGGUAGCCGGCCUGAGAGGGUGGACGGCCACAUUGGGACUGAGAUACGGCCUAGACUCCUACGGGAGGCAGCAGUGGGGAAUAUUGCACAAUGGGCGCAAGCCUGAUGCAGCGACGCCGCGUGGGGGAUGACGGCCUUCGGGUUGUAAACUCCUUUCGCUAGGGACGAAGCUUUUUGUGACGGUACCUAGAUAAGAAGCACCGGCUAACUACGUG
rnacentral:rRNA from 1 species